UCCCGAUAGCGUAAAAGUUAACUCAAAUUUGUAUGGAGUUGGAACGUUUGCUUUCGUUUGCCGCCAGGGGCGCUGUUCCAACUGCAUACACAGUUAACUUUUACGCUAUCGA
rnacentral:pre_miRNA from 9 species